AGAGUAUGCCUUCAUGUUUCAUUCAUUUUAUAGCUUUGCAGUUAUAUAUUAUCAUACACUGCAGCCUCUUUAGUCCACAGAUAUCCAUGCUUAAUUCAAACACACUGCAGUGUGCAGUGGCAGUACACUGGGAAGUGUUCAGCUCUUGCAGCAAUGCUGGCUGCCUGACUGAUUGCCUAUUCACCUCCUCGCCUUCACUUCAUCUACUACACUGCCUUGGCAGAUGUGAGCACAAAUGUGGGCCUACCGCAGGUACAUCAAGCUGCACCCGAGCGAACAGGCAGCAAAGGAGAGGAGCCAACUGGCCAACAAAUACAUUGGACAGAUGCUGGGAGACAUGAUGAGGAAAAAAAAGUAGAAAUAUAUAUCAUAUGCAUCUGUUCCA